rnacentral:lncRNA from 1 species
AUGGUUCACAGCAUCUGGGAGCCUGAAACCGUCUGCUCAUUUUCUGUGUGUCCUCUCUCUGGGGAGAGGUUCUCAGCUUUCAUCAGGAGCUCAAAGGCGCCCAAGGCCGAGGGAGGACCAAGCAUUGUUCCUGCCCACUCCCCUGAGGGGGCGGACAUUCACACCUCAGGAUGUGACGAUGUGUCUUCACUGGCCACUGUCCUGCCCAAGCCCCUGACGCCAGCCCAGACCCCACCCCCACUGAACAGCCUGAGCACCCCAGAGCUCCCUCCUGACACCUCCACCUGGAAGCCCCCCGACCCCCAGCAUAUCCCACUCCCCUCCCUCCUCUCCUCUGCCAUCUCCCUCCCACUCUCCUGGGGGCCCCAGCACUCUGGUCCCCUAGGGGUGUUCGGUCCUCAGUGGGGUCCACGGCUCCCUCUGCUCAAGACCUCUCAGCCUCUGCCCGCCGCUCCCCGCACCCCACACGGGGGUCCUGCCUCUCCUCAGCUGCCACGGGGUCUUCUUGGAAGAACACACCGGAUCUUCCUUCCCUCUCUCCUGCUGGGAGAACGCCUCUGCCCAGCACUGCCCCGCCCCCGUGGCUGCAGAGUCAAGUGGGGGCUCCUGAGUCCUGUACACGGUCCCCCGCCAUGGGGCCCCGCUCCCUUGCAGCCCCGUCCUCCCAUGUCCCUUGGUCCCCCUCAGCCCAGCCGUCCUGGAUCAACAGCUCCCAGGACCCUCCAGUCCCCUCGUGGCCAGAGCCAGGUGUGGGUCCACGGCUGGGUCAGUUUGUCAGAGACGCGUCAGAGGGGCUGCUCAGGCCGCCCCCGCCUGGAAACGCGCAGCCUGUCCUCAAGCACAUUCCAGACGGGCUUGCACCUUCUCCAGGGAACGGGACAGGUGGAGUGUGUCGAAUCUGUCUGCAGGUGCGCUGACCCCCUGACCUUGCCGCAUGGACUCCAGGCACUUGGGUCACAGGGGCCUGUGUUGAGGCCCGAGAGAAAUGCAAGAGCAUGCGGGGUGGGGCAGGAGGAUGGAAGGGGGACCAGUGGUGUGAUGAUUACGGAGCUGGCACUGAUCAUAAACCAUAAUCAAUUUAAAACCCAUUUUCUAGGUAUUAAACUUCACUACCGUUUGAUACCCCUGGUCCUGAGCGUGGGAAGAGCUGCCUCUGCCUGA